CGCAGGGGCGGCAUGCUAUACAUGCAGUCGAGCGGACAGAUGGGAGCUUGCUCCCUGAUGUUAGCGGCGGACGGGUGAGUAACACGUGGGUAACCUGCCUGUAAGACUGGGAUAACUCCGGGAAACCGGGGCUAAUACCGGAUGGUUGUCUGAACCGCAUGGUUCAGACAUAAAAGGUGGCUUCGGCUACCACUUACAGAUGGACCCGCGGCGCAUUAGCUAGUUGGUGAGGUAACGGCUCACCAAGGCGACGAUGCGUAGCCGACCUGAGAGGGUGAUCGGCCACACUGGGACUGAGACACGGCCCAGACUCCUACGGGAGGCAGCAGUAGGGAAUCUUCCGCAAUGGACGAAAGUCUGACGGAGCAACGCCGCGUGAGUGAUGAAGGUUUUCGGAUCGUAAAGCUCUGUUGUUAGGGAAGAACAAGUGCCGUUCAAAUAGGGCGGCACCUUGACGGUACCUAACCAGAAAGCCACGGCUAACUACGUGCCAGCAGCCGCGGUAAUACGUAGGUGGCAAGCGUUGUCCGGAAUUAUUGGGCGUAAAGGGCUCGCAGGCGGUUUCUUAAGUCUGAUGUGAAAGCCCCCGGCUCAACCGGGGAGGGUCAUUGGAAACUGGGGAACUUGAGUGCAGAAGAGGAGAGUGGAAUUCCACGUGUAGCGGUGAAAUGCGUAGAGAUGUGGAGGAACACCAGUGGCG
rnacentral:rRNA from 1 species